rnacentral:rRNA from 2 species
CAUGCAGUCGAGCGGAUGAGAAGAGCUUGCUGUUCUAUUGGUGGGCAGAGGGGUGAGUAAUACCUAUGAAUCUGCCCGGGACUGGGGGACAACGUUUCCAAAGGAACGCUAAUACCGCAAACGUCCUACCGGAAAAAGGGAGGGACCUUGAGGCCUUGCCCUAUCACAUGAGCCUAGGUCGAAUUAGCUAUUUGGUGAGGUAAUGGCUCACCCAGGCUACGAUCCGUAACUGGUCUGAGAGGAUGAUCAGUCACACUGGAACUGAGACACAGUCCAGACUCCUACUGGAGGCAGCAGUGGGGAAUAUUGGACAAUGGGCGAAAGCCUGAUCCAGCCAUGCCGCGUGUGUGAAGAAGGUCUUCGGAUUGUAAAUCACUUUUAGUUGGGAGGAAGGGCAGUAAGCGAAUACCUUGCUGUUUUGACGUUACCGACAGAAUAAGCACCGGCUAACUCUGUGCCAGCAGCCGCGGUAAUACAAAGGGUGCAAGCGUUAAUCGGAAUUACUGGGCGUAAAGCGCGCGUAGGUGGUUCGUUAAGUUAAAUGUGAAAAUCCCCGGGCUCAACCUGGGAACUGCAUCUGCAACUGGCCAGCUAGAGUAGGGUAGAGGGUGGUGGAAUUUCCUGUGUCGCGGUGAAAGUGCAUAGAUAUAGGAAGGAACRSCAGUSGCGAUGGGGKAMCCCCUGGGCCUCAKACURACMCUGMGSUGCGAMAAGCGUGGGGRUGCRRACMGGAACUAGAUACCGCUGSYAGKSCASUCCMYACMCKAUGUCAAUSUMRCCGUUGGAAUCCKUGMGAUUUUASUGSCSCMSCUAACGCAYUMAGUUGMCCGCCUGGCGAGUACAGCCGCAAGGUUAGAACUCAACUGAAUUGAAGGGGGCCCGCACAAGCGGUGGAGCAUGUGGUUUAAUUUGAAGCAAUGCGAAGAACCUUACCUGGCCUUGACAUCCAAUGUACUUUCCAGAGAAGGAUUUGUGCAGUCGGGAACAGAGAGCCAGGUGCCGCAUGGCGCUUGUCAGCUCGUGUCUUGAGAUGUUGGGUUAUGUCCUGUAUCGAGCGCAACCCUCGUCCUUAGUCACCAGCACGUUAUGGUGGGCACUCUAAGGAGACUGCCGGUGACAAACCGGAGGAAGGUGGGGAUGACGUCAAGUCAUCAUGGCCCUUAUGGCUUGGGCUUCACACGUGAUACAAUGGUCGGUACAGAGGGUCGCCAAGCCGCGAGGUGGAGCCAAUCUCACAAAACCGAUCGUAGUCCGGAUCGCAGUCUGCAACUCGACUGCGUGAAGUCGGAAUCGCUAGUAAUCGCGAAUCAGAAUGUCGCGGUGAAUACGUUCCCGGGCCUUGUACACACCGCCCGUCACACCAUGGGAGUGGGUUGCACCAGAAGUAGGUAGCUCUAACCUUAGGGAGGACG